rnacentral:rRNA from 1 species
UACGUAGGGACCGAGCGUUGUCCGGAUUCAUUGGGCGUAAAGAGCUCGUAGGCGGCUGCUCAAGUCGAAUGUGAAAACUCGAGGCUCAACCUCGAGCCUGCAUUCGAUACUGGGCGGCUAGAGUCUGGUAGGGGGAUCUGGAAUUCCUGGUGUAGCGGUGGAAUGCGCAGAUAUCAGGAGGAACACCGGUGGCGAAGGCGGGAUCCUGGGCCAGUACUGACGCUCAUACACGACAGCAUGGGGAGCGAACGGG